GGGUAGAGUAACGCGUGGGAACCUACCCUGGGGUACGGAAUAACAGCGGGAAACUGCUGCUAAUACCGUAUACGCCUUUAGGGGGAAAGAUUUAUCGCCCUGGGAUGGGCCCGCGUCCGAUUAGUUAGUUGGUGGGGUAACGGCCUACCAAGGCUUCGAUCGGUAGCUGGUCUGAGAGGAUGAUCAGCCACACUGGGACUGAGACACGGCCCAGACUCCUACGGGAGGCAGCAGUGGGGAAUCUUGGACAAUGGGGGCAACCCUGAUCCAGCCAUGCCGCGUGAGUGAAGAAGGCCUUAGGGUUGUAAAGCUCUUUCAGUGGUGACGAUGAUGACGGUAGCCACAGAAGAAGCCCCGGCUAACUCCGUGCCAGCAGCCGCGGUAAUACGGAGGGGGCAAGCGUUGUUCGGAAUUACUGGGCGUAAAGGGCGCGUAGGCGGCCUGUGCAAGUUAGUGGUGAAAGCCCCGGGCUCAACCUGGGAAUUGCCUUUUAAAACUGCUGGGCUUGAGUCCGGAAGAGGAUGGCGGAAUUCCCAGUGUAGAGGUGAAA
rnacentral:rRNA from 1 species